UUGGCGUUAGGGUUGAAAUCAAUGUCCAAAACCUUUGUAGGAACUCUUUUCCAACCUUUGAGAGCAAGUUAGACCAAAAAAAAAAUAAAAAAAUAAAAAAUAUAUAUUUGGGGUGUUCGGGCUUCCUGAAGGUAAUACCCGGGUAUUAGGUUAUGGGGCUAGGGUAAGGUUUAAGGUUUUUGGCGUUAGGGUUAAAAUCACUGUCCAAAACCUUUGUAGGAACUCUUUUCCAACCUUUUGGAGUUAGUUAGACAAAAAAAAAAGAUAAAUGAAAAAAAAAUAUUUGGGGUGUUCGGGCUUCCUGAAGGUAAUACCCGGGUAUUAGGUUAUGGGGCUAGGGUAAGGUUUAAGGUUUUUGGCGUUAGGGUUAAAAUCACUGUCCAAAACCUUUUUAGGAACAUGUUUCAGACCUUUUGGAGUUGGUUACACCAAAAAAAAUGUAAAAUGAAAAAAAAAUUUUUUUGGGUGUUCGGGCUUCCUGAAGGUAAUACUAUUAGGUUUCUGGGGCUAGGGUAAGGUUUUAGGUUUUUGGCGUUAGGGUUAAAAUCACCGUCCAAAACCUUUGUAGGAAUGCUUUUCCGACCUUUUGGAGUUAGUUAGACCAAAAAAAAAAAAAAAAAAAAAAAAAUAUAUUUGGGGUGUUCGGGCUUCCUGAAGGUAAUACCCAGGUAUUAGGUUAUGGGGCAAGGGUAAGGUUUAAGGUUUUUGGCGUUAGGGUUAAAAUCACUGUCCAAAACCUUUGUAGGAACUAUUUUCCAACCUUUUUGAGUUAGUUAGACCAAAAAAAAACGAAAAAUGAAAAAAAAAUAUUUGGGGUGUUCGGGCUUCCUGAAGGUAAUACCCGGGUAUUAGGUUAUGGGGCUAGGGUAAGGUUUAAGGUUUUUGGCGUUAGGGUUAAAAUCACUGUCCAAAACCUUUGUAGGAACUCUUUUCCAACCUUUGAGAGCAAGUUAGACCAAAACAAAAAGAAAAAAAUAAAAAAUAUAUAUUUGGGGUGUUCGGGCUUCCUGAAGGUAAUACCCGGGUAUUAGGUUAUGGGGCUAGGGUAAGGUUUAAGGUUUUUGGCGUAAGGGUUAAAAUCACCGUCCAAAACCUUUGUAGGAAUGCUUUUCCGACCUUUUGGAGUUAGUUAGACCAAAAAAAAAAAAAAAAUGAAAAAAAUAUAUUUGGGGUGUUCGGGCUUCCUGAAGGUAAUACCCGGGUAUUAGGUUAUGGGGCUAGGGUAAGGUUUAAGGUUUUUGGCGUAAGGGUUAAAAUCACUGUCCAAAACCUUUGUAGGAACUAUUUUCCAACCUUUUGGAGUUAGUUAGACCAAAAAAAAAAGAAAAAUGAAAAAAAAUAUUUGGAGUGUUCGGGCUUCCUGAAGGUAAUACCAAGGUAUUAGGUUAUGGGGCUAGGGUAAGGUUUAAGGUUUUUGGCGUAAGGGUCAAAAUCACUGUCCAAAACCUUUUUAGGAACAUGUUUCAGACCUUUUGGAGUUGGUUACACCAAAAAAAAUGUAAAAUGAAAAAAAAUUUUUUUUGGGUGUUCGGGCUUCCUGAAGGUAAUACUAGGUUUCUGGGCUAGGGUAAUGUUUUAGGUUUUUGGCGUUAGGGUUAAAAUCAAUGUCCAAAACCUUUGUAGGAACUCUUUUCCAACCUUUGAGAGCAAGUUAGACCAAAAAAAAAGAAAAAUAAAAAAUAUAUAUUUGGGGUGUUCGGGCUUCCUGAAGGUAAUACCCGGGUAUUAGGUUAUGGGGCUAGGGUAAGGUUUAAGGUUUUUCGGCGUGAGGGUAAAAAUCACUGUCCAAAACCUUUGUAGGAACUCUUUUCCAACCUUUGGGAAUAAGUUAGACAAAAAAAAAUAAGAUAAAUGAAAAAAAAAUAUUUGGGGUGUUCAGGCUUCCUGAAGGUAAUACCCGGGUAUUAGGUUUUGGGGCUAGAGUUAGGUUUAAGGUUUUUGGCGUUAGGGUUAAAAUAACUGUCCAAUAUUUUUUAAGGAACAUGUUUCAGACCUUUGGGAGUUAGUUAGACAAAAAAAAAAAAAAAAGAAAAAAAUAUAUAUUUGGGGUGUUCGGGCUUCCUGAAGGUAAUCCCCGGGUAUGAGGUUAUGGGGCUAGGGUAAGGUUUAAGGUUUUUGGUGUUAGGGUUAAAAUCACUGUCCAAAACCUUUUUAGGAACAUGUUUCAGACCUUUUAGAGUUGGUUACACCAAAAAAAAAUGUAAAAUGAAAAAAAAAUAUUUGGGGUCUUCGGGCUUCCUGAAGGUAAUACCCGGGUAUUGGGUUUUGGGGCUAGGGUAAGGUUUAAGGUUUUUGGCGUUAGGGUUAAAAUCACUGUCCAAAAUUUUUUAGGAACAUGUUUCAGACCUUUGGAGUUAGUUAGACCAAAAAAAAAAAAAAAAAAAAAUAUAUUUGGGGUCUUCGGGCUUCCUGAAGGAAAUACCCAGGUAUUAGGUUAUGGGGCUAGGGUAAGGUUUAAGGUUUUUGGCGUUAGGGUUAAAAUCAAUGUCCAAAACCUUUUUAGGAACAUGUUUCAGACCUUUUGGAGUAGGUUACACCAAAAAAAAAAUGUAAAAUGAAAAAAAAAUAUUUGGGGUGUUCAAGCUUCCUGAAGGUAAUACCCGGGUAUUAGGUUAUGGGGCUAGGGUAAGGUUUAAGGUUUUUGGCGUUAGGGUUAAAAUCACUGUCCAAAACCUUUGUAGGAACUAUUUUCCAACCUUUUGGAGUUAGUUAGACAAAAAAAAAAAAGAUAAAUGAAAAAAAAAUAUUUGGGGUGUUCGGGCUUCCUGAAGGUAAUACCCGGGUAUUAGGUUAUGGGGCUAGGGUAAGGUUUAAGGUUUUUGGCGUAAGGGUUAAAAUCACUGUCCAAAACCUUUUUAGUAACAUGUUUCAGACCUUUUGGAGUUGGUUACACCAAAAAAAAUGUAAAAUGAAAAAAAAUUUAUUUUGGGUGUUCGGGCUUCCUGAAGGUAAUCCUAGGUUUCUGGGGCUAGGGUAAUGUUUAAGGUUUUUGGCGUUAGGGUUAAAAUCAAUGUCCAAAACCUUUGUAGGAACUCUUUUCCAACCUUUGAGAGCAAGUUAGACCAAAACAAAUAGAAAAAUAAAAAAUAUAUAUUUGGGGUGUUCGGGCUUCCUGAAGGUAAUACCCGGGUAUUAGGUUAUGGGGCUAGGGUAAGGUUUAAGGUUUUUGGCGUGAGGGUUAAAAUCACUGUCCAAAACCUUUGUAGGAACUCUUUUCCAACCUUUGGGAAUUAGUUAGACAAAAAAAAAAAGAUAAAUGAAAAAAAAAUAUUUGGGGUGUUCGGGCUUCCUGAAGGUAAUACCCGGGUAUUAGGUUAUGGGGCUAGGGUAAGGUUUAAGGUUUUUGGCGUAAGGGUUAAAAUCACUGUCCAAAACCUUUUUAGGAACAUGUUUCAGACCUUUUGGAGUUGGUUACACCAAAAAAAAUGUAAAAUGAAAAAAAAUUUUUUUUGGGUGUUCGGGCUUCCUGAAGGUAAUACUAGGUUUCUGGGCUAGGGUAAUGUUUAAGGUUUUUGGCGUUAGGGUUAAAAUCACUGUCCAAAACCUUUUUAGGAACAUGUUUAAGACCUUUUGGAGUUGGUUACACCAAAAAAAAAUGUAAAAUGAAAAAAAAAAUAUUUGGGGUGUUCGGGCUUCCUGAAGGUAAUACCCGGGUAUUAGGUUUUGGGGCUAGGGUAAGGUUUAAGGUUUUUGGCGUUAGGGUUAAAAUCACUGUCCAAAACCUUUGUAAGGAACUCUUUUCAACCUUUUGGAGUUAGUUAGACCAAAAAAAAGAAAAAAGAAAAAAAUAUAUUUGGGGUCGUUCGGGCUUCCUGAAGGUAAUACCCGGUAUUAGGUU